AGGACCCUGCGGAGAAGAGGGUGUGCGAGCUGAGGGGAGACCUCCAGCUGCUCCAGGCACCCCCCCCCCCACUGCUGCCUGGGGUACCUCGGUGUCACCUGGUCACCUGUGGAGCUAUAGCCCCUGCGUGGCACCCCUACCAACUCGCCAGCUUCCUCAAGUCCCGCCCCUGGAGCUGUCAGGCCCUGCUAGGCUCAAAAGACUGUCUUUGGCUCCCCCUUCAGGAUGGAAUUUAUUUGUCAAAGAGGGAGGGGGACAAGGAGACUCUGCGUUGAGUGCAGGGCUCAGGGAGGAGCUUGAUCACAGGACCCUGAGACCCAUGACCUGAGCGGAAAUUGCGUCAGAGGCUAUAUAACCGGCUGAGCCACCCAGGUGCCCUGGUGACAAAGAUCUCUGAGCUGGGAGUUGAGGCCAGGAGACCCCAUCUGGCUGAGAUGUAAGAGGUGGCCGGAGGACCUUUUGACUUUCAGCGGGAAGCCUUUUGACCGGGCUGACAUUGCCUGUGCUCCUCCCUCCUGCCUGGGACACACAGGGAGCCUAGCUGCCUACUGACGGGAGGGGACAGGCUUGAGGACAAAAGCUCCUGUCCUACAGCACAGAGGGCUGGCCUGACGUCCUGAUGGCAGGGCCAGGAAGGGCCAUUAUCAGCAAUUGCUUAUCCAAGGACUUCUUGAUUGCCGCCUCCCUUGUGAGUUAGCUGCAGCCCCAGGCAUCCCCAUUACGCUGGAGAAGGCUCCCCGACAUUGCACUCCAAAUAGCUGGGGAGGGCGUGACUAAGGUCAGGGCAAAUUGGAGGGGGAGCUGCUGCCUCUCACCAGAGAAGAGCCCCCACCAAGCUACACCUGUGUCUUCAUUUUCGGGAAGGCCGAGAGCCAGCUGUGCCAGGCGCCCUGCCCCAGGGCCGCCAGCUCUGGCUGUCCUGCAAGUCCCUGUGCUCCUGCCCGCUGGCUGUUCCCCGUGCCCACCCCCACCCCCCCACCCCCGCCCCACUGGGCCCUGCCUUCCGUGUUUCUGGCUGCGGACAGAGGCGCGGAGUGCAGCACGGUGACUCGGCAUGUCCAGUAUCAGAGGCAGAGAGCACAGGCUAGGUCUGGGGCGAGUAGCAGCAGCCCUGUCAUCUCAGGGGGUGACUGUCCUCUCUGUGCCUGUUUCCUCGUUCACUUUUCCCAGGAUGUGGUGGAAAGUAAAUGAGAUGAAUGCCUGCAAGUGCAGGGCUUCAAAACGUGUGGGCAAUGUGGGGUGAGGUGACCUAAGCCCGGGGGGCUUCUCACCCUCCUGGGGCCAUGCCAUGCGGCGCCCUCCAGGACAACUCGAGGGCAGGUGACCCCUCGUACCCUGAGUUUGGGAGCCGGCUGUUCCCUUUGCGGAAGCAUGUUGUCCUCUGAAGGAGAGGACUCCCUACUCCCGUGAAGAUACUUGCACAGCGUGGCCAGCUGUCAGCCAGGGUGCAGAGGGGACGAGCACACCGACGUCCAGGAGGGCGCUUCUGGGAGAGGUUUGGAUCUUGAGCAACUGCCUGGGUCUCCAUCUGCCCUUCCUUGCUCAGAGUGGUGGGAGCUGCAGAGACAGACUAGGGGGCCCGGGUUCCCUCUGCCCAGUGCUCAGGCCCUCUCUGCUUUUUGUAGGAGUCCCUGACCUCUCACGCCUCAUAAGCCUCCUGCAAGGAAAGCAGGACUGAGGGGUACCUGGGGGUUCCAUCGGCUAGGCGUCUCCUUCAGCUCAGGUCACUAUCCCCGAGUCCUGCAUCUGCUUCUCCCUCUCCCUGUGCUGCUCCCCUUGUUUGUGUACUCUCUCUCUAAUAAGUAAAUUGACAGACUUAAAAAAAGAAAGCAGGACCCACUCACUGGUCUCUGACCGGUUUAGCACCUCUCAGAACCAGCUGACAGAGCACAAGGGUCUCAGAGGGCACAAAGCCAAACUCACAGGCUGUUGGUCACAUGCACAAUGCUGGAGCGCCCCGUCAGGUUGGAAACCCCAGAUAUAGCCCAGCGCACGUACCUCCUAAGCCAGGGGAGUCAAGUGACUUGUCCAGGGCCUGCACAAUCGGAAGCAGGUCCAGGACAGAAAUCCAGUCUGAAAACUGCACUUUUCAUUAGACCUGCAUUAAUUCCCCUCUCUCAGUGGAGCAACGCCAGUUUCUAGGAGGGAGGGCUCCCUGAGGGUCCGCCCCUGCCCCAGGUGUGUCCGUGCUCCCAAGAGUACCAAGGCCAGGGCUCUGCCCCCCCCUUCCCCCCAGGCAGGCUCUUCUUUCUACCUGAGACUGCAGGGCGUUGGGGGUGGAGCGCCCUGCGAGCCAGCAGCCAUAUAGGACAGGAGGCAAAGCUGGGGACGCUGCUGCCCCUUGUGCUCAUCUCUCUGCCCCCAGAGCUUUCUAGAUAGAUGGAAGGCUGCUGGCUGUCAGUCAGACCUGGACCUGCGUAAGCCCGUGCCCAAGCCAGACAGCGAGCCCCACGUGGUCUCACGAAGGCAGGCCAACAGCAGCAUGGCUUGGGCGGUGACUUCCCACUUGGGCUCUCAGAGCAGGAACAGAGAGAGGUGUGGGGAGGCCUUUUGGUUUGUGUAACACAACACCAAGUUUGUCCUGUGGCCCUCAGAGCUGCCAGGGGCCCAGUCUGUCACCGCAGGGUCAGGGUCGCAAGGGUGGGAAGGGAGGGGCCGUGUGCAGGCCUUGCAGGCCUUGCAAGUACCGCCCUGCCCUCAGCUUCAUUCCCAGCACUCGCCUCUCACAUUCCCCAGGAACCUUCCCAUGUGGGGCUUGAUAGGGGGUGGCUGCAGGGUGUUCGAGCAGCCUUGGGUCAGAACCCUGAGCCCUGCAUAUUCACUCGUAUGUGGCCGGUGUCAGAAACGCUCCACAAGCCCAGCAGAGCCCAGUGUCCCUGCCUGGAGGACCGGGGCUUUCCCCUCCAAACCCUGUAGAGGCUUUAGGAACAGGAGGAAGACCUAGGGGGCCAUGGCAGGACUGGGGUGGGGCAGCGCAAGCCCACAGGAGAGGGGGGUUGGGUCAAGGAUGUUCCUGCACCUGGCCUGCGGCCCCGCUUGGCCACAAGGAUGCAGGGUGAGAAUGCAGAGGGAGUCAUGGUGGCCAGGGCAUAGCUGCCCACCACGGGAGGGCCGGCCAGCGCCCAGACCAUGGCAGAGCUGCCCAAUCCUGCUCCACCUUGCACAAGGCUUUGUGGACACUGUCUCGAGCACUGUCUAUGACACCCUGUGCGGUUGGGGCCAGUCCUGAACAGGGUCUGUAAGUGAUUUCUUCCCUGGGAGCUCAGCAGCAGUGCCCACUGGAAAACAUGAAAACCCAGAAAAAAGUAGAGAAGCCAUUCUGCUCUGUGCUCGGCCCUCCACGAUCGUCUGAGCAAUGCCCUGCCCUGCUGCACUAUCCCACUAGUCUACUUCAUUUCUUCUCAACAUCCAUGGGAUGUGAUCAGAUGUGAGACUUUUUUCAUUUGCUUAUUUGCUUAAUUUAUUUAAGGUCUGACAUCCUCUCUCUCCCAACUGGAAUAAAAUUUUACAGGAAAGGGGACCUGUUGUCACCUGGCUUAGUCAAUAUCUGUUGAAUGAAUGAGUAUAAGGCCUUUCCCCAGGUGACUACUGAGUCUAAAUACUUAUUUUAUUGUUUUAUAAGACUUUUUUUUUACAUAUUGAGGUCACUAACUCUUGGUAUGCUAAUUUAAGAACACUUUUCUCUGGUGUAUCUUAUUCUAUUAUGGUGAUUUUUGACAUGUGAAAGUUUUGCCCUCAGAGGUCACAUGUAUGGUAGCCAGGGGACCAUAGCUAAUAUUCCUGCUGAGAGCUCUGGGUGGGCUGCUAUACUACUCAGGGGCUAGCCCUAGGAAAUGGGAUAUUCAGGAUUGGGGUAGGAAGCCAGUUCUGCCACAGUAACCUAACCCUCCUUGCCUCCUCUUCCUUGCUAACUUUUCCCUUAGAUUGUGGGAGACACAGAGUGUUGUCGGGAGGCCCCUGCCCACCCCUCAGCCUCACGGUGCUUCCGCGUGCAUUCUCAGGGCUGGAGAAAUCAAGGAGGCAGGCCCAUUGAGGCCUGAGGUAGAGGCUUGCAAGUGUGGGGCUCAGAACAAAGCAAUCAUUCAUUCUCAUGGGACUGUCAGCCUCGCCUGCCUUGCCCUGCACUGUAGCCCAUGUGCCUGGGACUCGUGGGUGGAGACUGAAUGGGUGGGUGGACAUAGGGUAGGUGGCUGUGUGUGCAGAUGGAUGGAUAGAUGGAUGGAUGGACGGACAGACAGACAGACAGGUGGGUGGAGAGAUGGAUGGAUGGAUGGGCGGGCAGAUGGGUGGAUGCACCAGGCAGUGGACAAUCACUGCUGGAGGAAGCCCGGCUUCCACUGAAUUCUUACAGUUCCUGGAAGACAAGUUGUCCCAACUGCAGAAAACGUUUUAACUAGUGACGGAAAUAGUCUCAGGGUCGGGAGCCCUAGCGAAGCAUCUUCAUGACAGCAAACUUCAGGGCUCUGCAUGCUCCCCUGAGUUUCCAAGAUCUCACGGAACCGCCCUGUCAUACUGUUGCCCCAGAGACUGAUGUGUCCCCCUUGCAAACAGAUGCAAGGAAGACCAGCUGAUCUCAGGAACCGCAGGGCCCUGGGAGUCGCACCCCAGCCUCUGGGGCCGAUGGCUGCGAGGAGCCUGCGGGGCACGCCCAGACAGCGGGGUGGGCUGUCCCUCAGGGAGUCUGGGUGGAUGAGCAGCCCCAGCCAAGUGGGUGGGGGAAGUGGUGGAGAAAGACGAAAGGGGAAGGGAAACCAGGCGUGGGGUGGAACAGACCACACCUCUCCCAUCAUCCCCCUGGGGUGCGGGGCUCACUGCCCACAGAACCCGGCUAGGCUGGGUGAGCAGGGGCCAACUGGUCCCAGGGCUGCCCCCAUCUAAGAACUAACUGUGAUUCCCACUCAGGUUCCCUCUCACGCAUCCGUCCAUUGCUUCAGCCUUAUCUUCUGUGCUACCAGCAACCGUGGUUCCCUCUGUGGAGAAAGCCUUUCCCCCUCCUUCAGCUGUCUGGCUCCUGUCCAACCCUCAGUGCUCAGCUCAGCUAUCACCUCCUCCUGGAAGCCCUCCCUGACUGCACAGCCUGGGCAAUGUGCUCCCAUACACGCUGCUGUGUUUGUCAAGCAGUGGUGACCAGGUCUGUUCACCGGUUCCCGUCGGCCCACAAGCUCCCCUAGGGCGGGCCUCUGGGGGGCCUUGUGUCCUGUCUCCAGGGCCCUGGGUGUCUGGCACCCAGGAAGGUGUAUGGGGCUGUGCAGGGUGACCUGGGGGCCUAGACGUGGGCCUGGCGUGCAG